UACGAAGGGAGCUAGCGUUGUUCGGAAUUACUGGGCGUAAAGGGCGCGUAGGCGGUUUGGUCAGUCAGAUGUGAAAGCCCUGGGCUCAACCCGGGAACUGCGUUUGAUACUGCCAAGCUUGAAUUCGGGAGAGGUGAGUGGAAUUCCCAGUGUAGAGGUGAAAUUCGUAGAUAUUGGGAAGAACACCAGUGGCGAAGGCGGCUCACUGGACCGACAUUGACGCUGAGGCGCGAAAGCGUGGGGAGCAAAC
rnacentral:rRNA from 1 species